GUAGGUGGCAAGCGUUGUCCGGAAUUAUUGGGCGUAAAGCGCGCGCAGGCGGUUUUUAAGUCUGAUGUGAAAGCCCACGGCUCAACCGUGGAGGGUCAUUGGAAACUGGGGAACUUGAGUACAGAAGAGGAAAGCGGAAUUCCACGUGUAGCGGUGAAAUGCGUAGAGAUGUGGAGGAACACCAGUGGCGAAGGCGGCUUUCUGGUCUGUAACUGACGCUGAGGCGCGAAAGCGUGGGGAGCAAACAGGAUUAGAUACCCUGGUAGUCCACGCCGUAAACGAUGAGUGCUAAGUGUUAGGGGGUUUCCCGCCCCCCUUAGUGCUGCAGCUAACGCAUUAAGCACUCCGCCUGGGGAGUACGGCCGCAAGGCUG
rnacentral:rRNA from 1 species